CUUCUCUGUUCGAAACUAAGAAGUCGAAUUCUUCAUAAUUCUUUGAUCUAUGAGCCGAUUAUUCAUAAUUCUUUGAUCUAUGAGCAUUUUUGCAUCCAAUCGAAGCUAAAAUCGGAUGGAGUUUCCGAUUUGGAAUAAAUGGUCACAAAUACAAAACCACAGAUGGUUCAGAUUCAUGCGAAGCUCGUUUAUGUAAAGAUGAUGAAAGGCGAAGACUUUUUGCACAACCAGACGAAGAAAAUGUUUCUACUGCAAUGAAAAUAUAAGUUUUUUUUGUUUCUCUGCUCUUAACUCAGUCUUUUUGUGGUUUUAGCUUAGGGUUUUUAACCUUUCUUUAGGAGCUAAUGUAUAAAGAUUUUAACCUUUCUUUACAGGAACCUUUCUUUAGGAGCUUAUGUCGGCUACCAGAGGAGGUCCUGACCAAGGUCCAUCCCAGCCACAUCAGCGACGGAUCGUACAGACUCAGCCGCUGGUAACUCGGAGAAUUAUUCUACAGUGAAGUUGUCCCCUCCUCUCUCGUCGAGAAUUCCCCUAUUCUCCGUGUUGCUAAUGAGGUCGAAUCUAGCUACAACUGAGUUGCUUGUCUCUGUGUGGAUCGUUUUGACCUGAAUACAACAGUCGCUUGUGCGAGGCUUCAACUGUGAAAGGUUUAUGUUUUGGAAUGGGAGCUUUUGCUGAAUUAUGGAGAUGAACUGAAGAUGGUGACGUUUUUAUGGGAUAGCUAUAUUUUUAUAAAUGAUAGAAUAUUAGCUAUAGUUUUUCUUUUCCAAAUCGUUGGAUAGUUAGUCAGAUUAGUAUGUAGAAGUAGUUAAAUUGGUCAUUUUUUUGAUUGUCACGUUUGCCCUUACUGAAUUUUUAAAAAUUAGGCAAAUCAAUAAUGGCAUAAAAAGUAAUAUGCCAGGUAAAAGUGAGGGCAAAUCUAAAAAAAGGAUCCUGAAUUAAUAGUAUU